rnacentral:rRNA from 1 species
UGCCAGCAGCCGCGGUAAGACGUAGGGGGCGAGCGUUGUCCGGAAUUACUGGGCGUAAAGAGCACGUAGGCGGGAACUUAAGUCAGGUGUGAAAGACCGUGGCUCAACCACGGGGUGGCAUUUGAAACUGGGUUUCUUGAGGGCAGGAGAGGAAAGCAGAAUUCCUGGUGUAGCGGUGAAAUGCGUAGAAAUCAGGAGGAAUACCAGUGGCGAAGGCGGCUUUCUGGACUGACCCUGACGCUGAGGUGCGAAAGCGUGGGUAGCAAACAGGAUUAGAUA